GAUGAACGCUGGCGGCGUGCCUAAUACAUGCAAGUCGAGCGAACAGACGAGGAGCUUGCUCCUCUGACGUUAGCGGCGGACGGGUGAGUAACACGUGGAUAACCUACCUAUAAGACUGGGAUAACUUCGGGAAACCGGAGCUAAUACCGGAUAAUAUAUUGAACCGCAUGGUUCAAUAGUGAAAGUCGGUUUUGCUGUCACUUAUAGAUGGAUCCGCGCCGCAUUAGCUAGUUGGUAAGGUAACGGCUUACCAAGGCAACGAUGCGUAGCCGACCUGAGAGGAUGAUCGGCCACACUGGAACUGAGACACGGUCCAGACUCCUACGGGAGGCAGCAGUAGGGAAUCUUCCACAAUGGGCGAAAGCUUGACGGAGCAACGCCGCGUGAGUGAUGAAGGUCUUCGGAUCGUAAAGCUCUGUUAUUAGGGAAGAACAAAUGUGUAAGUAACUAUGCACGUCUUGACGGUACCUAAUCAGAAAGCCACGGCUAACUACGUG
rnacentral:rRNA from 1 species